rnacentral:rRNA from 1 species
UACGUAGGGGGCUAGCGUUGUCCGGAAUCAUUGGGCGUAAAGAGCGUGUAGGCGGCCCGGUAAGUCCGCUGUAAAAGUCAAAGGCUCAACCUUUGAAUGUCAGUGGAUACUGCCGGGCUAGAGUCCGGAAGAGGAGAGUGGAAUUCCUGGUGUAGCGGUGAAAUGCGCAGAUAUCAGGAAGAACACCCGUGGCGAAGGCGGCUCUCUGGGACGGUACUGACGCUGAGACGCGAAAGCGUGGGGAGCGAACAGG